GCCGCGUUGGCUCAAUGGUAGAGCGUCGCCCUCCUAAGGCGAAGGCUGCGGGUUCGAGUCCCGUGCGUGGUA
rnacentral:tRNA from 1 species